GGUUUAGUGGCAGUUCUUACGGGAAAGAAGAUGAAAGUUAUAAUCUUUAAAAUCUAGCAUUAAUUCAUAUUUUCUUGUAUAUGAAUGGACCAAGAGUGAUUCCAUAUUUUGUAUGCUGAUAGGAAUCUGUGGAUCUGAUACCGUUGGACCAUUGGUCUAUGGAGCCAAUUUCAGCAACUACAUUU